rnacentral:rRNA from 1 species
AAUAUUGGACAAUGUGCGAAAGCCUGAGCCAGCCAUGCCGCGUGUGUGCGGAAGGUGUUCUGAUUGUAAAGCACUCUAAGCUGGGAGGAAAGGCAGUAAGGUAAUACCUUGCUGUUUCGACGUUACCGACAGAACAAGCAACGGAUAACUUCGUUCCAGCAGCCGCGGUAAUACGAAGGGUGCAAGCGUUAAUCGGAAUUACUGGGCGUAAUGCGCGGGUAGGUGGUUUGUUAAGUUGGAAGUAAAAGCCCCGGGCUAAACCUGGGAACUGUUUUCAAAACUGGCAAGCUAAAGUACGGAAGAGGAUGGUGGAAUUUCCUGUGUAGCGGUGAAAUGCGUAGAUAUAGGAAGGAACACAAGUGGGGAAGGCGCCCACCUGGGCUAAUACUGACACUGAGGUGCGAAAGCGUGGGGAGAAAA